AUGUCUAGUUGGCAGCCUGUAUCAAGCGGAGUGCCCCAGGGGUUGGUCCUGGGGCUGGUUUUGUUCAACAUCUUUAUUAAUGAACUGGAUGAUGGGAUUAAUUGCACCUUCAGCAAAUUCACAGAUAACACUAAGCUAGGGGGAUAGGUAGAUACACUGGAGGGUAGGGGUAGGGUGGAGGGCCCUAGACAAAUUAGAGGAUUGGGCCAAAAGAAAUCUGAUGAGG